UACAGAGGCCUCGAGCGUUAGGCGGAAUCACUGGGCUUAAAGCGUGUGUAGGUGGAUGCCUAAGUGCCUUGUGAAAUCCCAUGGCUUAACCAUGGAAUUGCUGGGCAUACUGGGCGUCUUGGAGCCAACUGGCGGACCGGAACAAGCGUGGAGCGGUGAAAUGCGUAGAUAUCGUUGAUGACGCCAGAGGUGAAAACAGGCUGCUGGGG
rnacentral:rRNA from 1 species